rnacentral:rRNA from 1 species
GAAGCGGCAACAGCUCAAAUUUGAAAUCUGACCCUUUGGGGUCCGAGUUGUAAUUUGCAGAGGGUGUUUCGGGCACGGUGCCGGUCUAAGUCCUUUGGAACAGGGCGUCAUAGAGGGUGAGAACCCCGUAUGUGACCGGUCGCCAAACCCAUGUGAAACCCCUUCGACGAGUCGAGUUGUUUGGGAAUGCAGCUCAAAAUGGGUGGUAAAUUUCAUCUAAAGCUAAAUAUUGGCCAGAGACCGAUAGCGCACAAGUAGAGUGAUCGAAAGAUGAAAAGCACUUUGGAAAGAGAGUCAAACAGCACGUGAAAUUGUUGAAAGGGAAGCGCUUGCGACCAGACCUGCUCGCGGGUGAUCAGCGGUGCUUUUCGCGCCGUGCACUCGUCCGCGAUCAGGCCAGCAUCGGUUCAGGCGGCCGGAUAAAGACUCGGAGAAUGUAGCUCCCUCCGGGGAGUGUUAUAGCUCCUUGUGCAAUACGGCCAGCCGGGACCGAGGACCGCGCUUCGGCUAGGAUGCUGGCGUAAUGGUCGUAAGCGACCCGUCUUGAAACACGGACCAAGGAGUCUAACAUCUGUGCGAGUGUUUGGGCGUCAAACCCAUGCGCGCAAUGAAAGUGAACGUGAGGUGGGAACCCUUUCGGGGGCGCACCAUCGACCGAUCCAGAUGUCUUCGGAUGGAUUUGAGUAAGAGCACAGCUGUUGGGACCCGAAAGAUGGUGAACUAUGCCUGAAUAGGGUGAAGCCAGAGGAAACUCUGGUGGAGGCUCGCAGCGGUUCUGACGUGCAAAUCGAUCGUCAAAUUUGGGUAUAGGGGCGAAAGACUAAUCGA